rnacentral:rRNA from 1 species
ACUUUCAACAACGGAUCUCUUGGUUCUGGCAUCGAUGAAGAACGCAGCGAAAUGCGAUAAGUAAUGUGAAUUGCAGAAUUCAGUGAAUCAUCGAAUCUUUGAACGCACAUUGCGCCCUCUGGUAUUCCGGGGGGCAUGCCUGUUCGAGCGUCAUUACAACCCUCAAGCUUUGCUU